rnacentral:rRNA from 1 species
GACGAACCGUGCGAACGUUGUUCGGAUUCACUGGGCUUAAAGGGCGCGUAGGCGGGCGAUCAAGUCAGGGGUGAAAUCUUUCGGCCCAACCGGAAAAGUGCCCCUGAUACUGGCCGUCUCGAGGGGGGUAGGGGCAUGCGGAACUUCCGGUGGAGCGGUGAAAUGCGUAGAUAUCGGAAGGAACGCCGGUGGCGAAAGCGGCGUGCUGGACCCCUUCUGACGCUGAGGCGCGAAAGCCAGGGGAGCAAACGGG